ensembl:lncRNA
UUUUUUUUUUUUUUCACCUCUGAAAGCUGAAAAGGCAAUAAAUAAAAGUCACAGACUUUUAAUAAAUGAAAUAAUGCUACAUGGAGUUACAGAAUAUUCUGGUUAAAGGCAUACUGGCCUGGUUUUAAAUUAUUAGAUACUCCCAUCUGAAAAUAUGUUUUUGGGAACAAUAGUAUUGGCUCAUCUGCCACUGAUUUUAAUAGCAUUAGUUAUCCAUAUUAAGUAGAAUAGUUGGUUCUAUUGGUUUCAGCAGUCCUGGGAACAUAAUCAACCAUUCAAACUUUUAAUGACCCAGCAGAGUUAGAAUUGUUAUGUUCUGUAGGUAUGUGCACAGUUAAUGGUAAAACUGAUGGGAUAAUGAAUGCCCUGCUGCUAACAGUAACAGUCACCAAACACCAACUUUACAUGAGUUCUGCACAACAUUAAAUAAAGAAUGGUCUUAAAGAAGACAAGAAAAAAUUAUCUAAUUUACAAGUAAAUUUGCACCUUCUCCAUCAUAAACAACUCAUUAAGUUGAAGUGAUCAUGUCACUUAACAAUCCCAUUAUUGUAAUUCUCAUUGUUACAUUAAACUUGUUAGUAUAUGUUAGGAUUGCAGCUCUGAUACAAUCACUGUCAUAGAGAUUCUAAAGAAAUAUCACUAAAUAUUAGGACAGAAAAAUAAAAAAGGCCUAGAAUUGUAAAGUCCCUUACAGGGAGAGAGUUACAUUAAAAGGAUCUUAUAAUCAUUCUCAAAUAUUAAAUUCCAGGAAAUUUAGAGAUAAGUCUAUAUUUAAAAAAAAAAAAUCAUCAAGCAUUUAAAAGUAUGAAAAUGCAGAGGCAGUGCUUCUAUAUAAAAUUGUCUUUGUCCUGAAGUGACACAAUGGUGGAUGAAAAUGAGGGAAUAAACCAACUGCUCCUUCAAAAAAAGCAGCUAGUAUGCCAUUAAAAAUUAGCUUAAUUUAAAGCUAAUUAUUGUGAGGAGUUUCACUGCACUGAAUUAAUUACAUAAUUUACUUUCUGGAAAACAUUACACUUCCUUAGUUCUGUAGUUCAAACAACUAUUGAGCUUGUUUUCAGUUCUGUAAUAAAAAGUUUUGCUUGAAUGUGGAUUGUAGGUUUUGAUAUUAUUGUUCCCCUGACAGAAGUUUUUAACAGAAAGAUAAGUGAAAGAGUGGUGGUUUGUGAAAGGGUAUAAUACAGUCAGAUCCUCACCAGGGGCAAACUGUGAACCAUCUCCUUUGGUUUCAAUGGGCCUACAACAGCUGAUGACACAGAAAUGUCACUUACUUUGAAGGAUUUCUGCAAAACAUAAAUUGCCUUUUAUUAGUGCUCAGGGAUUUUCAAGCAAAGAAGAAGCAAGCGGGUGAAACUGAGACCAUGGUUCUACAAUACAGUAAAUCAUGCUCAAUGUCUUCAUGAACCAGAUUAAAACAGGUGUAACUGUAAGAAAGAAAUGGAUGAACCAAUAUAAACUCAAUUUACUGCUUCUAUUUUGUGAGGGACCAUCCUACUAUAAGUAGCUUCUGUGCUGGAUCAUAUAUCAUCUGUUUGAAAUACUAUGCCCCUUCAGGUAUUAGCUCUAUCAUGCCCAGCAAGAAAAUUUUAACUACAGCAUGAUCUCUGUAUCAGAUACCCUGGGCUAAUUCAACAGCCAAGAAGUGAUGUGCCCAAGAUGGAUCCCAACCACAUUUCUAUUGCUGGAUGGACAAACGUAGUUUAAGGAUAACAGACCCAUUGCUGAAAACUCGAGGUGAGAUGGGAAUACGGCAGGAUGUCAAGUGGGAAGUGUAGCAAUCGCCUGAUCCAGUAAAUGCACAUGUGGCAAAGUAGGGCUUCUGCACUGCUAACUGAGUCAGGAUCAGGAGAGCCAUGCCAUGCUUGAAAGUGUUUGUCAGGAGGCUUUAAUCCCUGUCUGCUCUAAGGCAGAAUCUAACGUAAUUCUGCAUUGUAUUUUGUAGUUCCUCAUGCAAAAUAUGCCAGGCCAUGGCUGUCUGCAGCCAGCAGCCUUGCUGAAAGGAGCCAUUGAAGAGGAUCCUGCAGAUAAUGCUGCAACUCAUGUUUGGUCUGCAGUCAAAAAAUUAAAACACAAUAGAAACCAGAACCUUUGAACAUAAGAAUUAAAUGCAACAUGGGUCUAAGGCAAUAAUCCAAUACAUAAUUAAUAGCAACUUGCCAAGUGGUGUUUUUAAUUAUAAUCAUUUUAUUCUGUAUUAAAGUAGCACCAGAGGUCAAAUGAUGCAGUCAGUCCUGAUGCUCUUUCGCUUGGAUUAGACAGUGUAGAACAUGUCCUAGGUGCAUUUUCUAGCUAAGAUGAAAUAUAAAAGCAGUCUAAAAGGAGUCAGUGUUUAAGUCCAUCGCUCUGCAGAGUUCUCCAUGUUGAAGAGCACUCCACUGACAGGAAAUGUCUUCCAAGCGCAGAACCAAGCUGAACGACAUCUUUGGAAUAUAUUCUCAGUACUCAUGCAUUAUUUCUUUAUUCAAAUUUCAGAGGAGUGUUUGACUUUACUGUGAAACCAUAAAUCACUACCAUUUUUUGGCAUCUCAGAUGUUUUCCUCAGUUAAACACAAUGAGUUUCCUCCAAGGGAAGGAGGAACAGUGCAAACAGUGUUCAAAAUGUGUUACUAAUUAAUUGGAAGGUCCUGUUGAAUAUAAUUAAUUCAAAUGUUUUAGUAUAUUCCAACAGAACACAUACAUCUUUUGGUAAUACAUGUACUUUGAGACCCCAUGCAUGUAUUUUAGACCAAUAUUCUUCCUAGAGAUGGCAGAUACAUUUUAACUGUAGUGGUUGUGAAAAAUGGCCCAGAGUUUUGUUGUCUUUGUUCAUUAGUCUGUUAGGAACGAUUUGUUAUUGUACAGAAAACGAAGAGUUUUGCUUACCCUUUUCUUUCACUGCAAAUGUAUGUAAAAGAAAAACAUAAGAAAGAAACAUUUACAAGGAAAAGUAGUAUUUGCAGAGACAUAAAUUGCCUUGGCAGACUUUUUUAGUGGCAAUUAUAUAGAAAAAAUAUCUAUGAGACUUUUUGUAUUUCUGCCUGUAAAUAUUCCAGUUUUCUAUUAAUGCGCAUUACUAGAGCUACUAGCUUUGACAGUUCUUUAGUGCACUUUGGGGAAAACUGCUUUAAGAAAGAAAAAACAACCCUAUUUGCUUUUAUCUGACCAGCAUCAAAAAAGCAUCAUCUACCCUGUUCACUGAGUUGUGGCAGACUGUGACUUUUCCUGACUGUGGCUGUUCUGCAGCCUCUUAUCCAUGCUACUACUUGUUAUCUCUUGGGGUUUGCUAUUCCAGAGGACAACUUCAGUUUUUAGCUUUGUCUUAAGUGCCAAGCAGACUGAUGGUUUUCUGCAAGUACUUUAUCAACUCAGUUUCUAUUGAUUAUAGAGAAUACUGUUGCUAGAGCUAUGGAAUGUGACUACCAUUCUGCUGUAAAUUUAUGAGUGUGAUUUUUUACUUCCCCCAGAGAGAAAAAGGGAUAAGAAAUUCUCCUUUCUUUGUUUAUAUCAGGGUAAAUGAAAGUGUACACUUGGAAAGUGUUUUGAUUAGUAUAUUUCAGACCAUAUUAUAUCCUGCUGUAGUAGCAAUCCCUUUUUAGUUGGCAGGUUUUGAAACGUUUGUGAAAGCCAACAAGUGAUGCAUUAAUACAAAAGCAGCUUAUGCACAAUUUUUCAAUCAUAAUAAAUAUGCUAAAGAAAAAUAAGAUUUAAUGCCAUCCUUAUUUCAUUCCAUGUAGCAAUGAUGGAAAGGGACUGCAAGAGGUAAUGGUUAAGGUCAUCCAGGAUCCUUGAUUUGGGCUGCCAUGUGUUUCAUCAGACAUGGAUGGCUACUUCUCUGACUUUAGCAUUUGAGACAGAUGGAUUUUUGGCAUAUGCAACUCAUGUCUUUAAAUUUCUACUGGAGCAGCAGCCAGGAUUUUUUUCCUCUCAAAAAACCCCAACAUAGAAACCUCAAGUGGGUCUUCCAGCUCCACCAACUGCAAGUGGUCUACAGAGGAUCUGCAGUGGUUAUCAGUUAGCAGUCAAAGUGUGGAAAGAAAAAUGAGGAAGGACUGUUAGGCACACUGCCUGAGUAAAGACAGAGGGAGUGGAAUAUAAACAAAGUGAAUUUCAAGAUUUUUUUGGGAUAAUUAGGAUACCUGGAAUUUCUCAGAAGAAGAUGAAAUGCUUCUGGGCACAAGCAACUCUGGGUUCUGAGGAGUCAGCUUGCUGUAUGGACAUACCUUCCUCUUUCUUGUGCUGCCAUGAAUAGGACUGCCAUGUUCUCUCUUCAAACUCAGACCCUUGCUUUUCUGCCACAUCCCAUAGUGUCCUCUCACCCUUCUACUCUAUGCCUCUCUUUCCUGCUGGAAAUGCUAUGAACUAUUUUUUACUGGUUCUAUUCCUAACAAGGCUGAAUGGAAAAAGUAAUUUAACGUGGCUGAGUGCUCUGUUAAUGGAUCUAUUCAUAUGCAAUUGUCUCAUAGGAACAUUUUGAGGAUCACAAGACAUUUGUUAAGUGAUUUUGGACCACUUGAUGAAAGAUAUUUAUUUAAGCAUUUUUUAUUAUUUUCAUGUAAAUGUGUGAUGUAUUUAAUGUACAAUUACUGUUAGAAAUGCUCAUUCUUCAUAGUUCCUGAUUAUGUAAUUUUUAUUUUAAAAUAUAUAAACAUUCUAUCUAGAGUUUGUAGCUACACAUAUAUUACAUUUAAAAGCUGUUGAUUUUCUAUGAGCCAAAAAAGGAUUAAAACAAAACUUUGGAACAAGUUGAGAUGUUGCUUUUGCUGAAGAGUGUUCAUAUGCUUUAGGAAAUGAAUGAUGGAAUCUCUACUCUGAACCCUCAAAUGUGCUUCUUAAGAAUUAACAGUUUUUUUACCCUGAUAUUGUGUUUGAUCCUGGAGUUGGUUUCAAGCAAACCAACUGAAAAUGGGCAUUUCAUUUAGAGGAGUGGGAAAGGUGUCAGAAAGUACAGCUAUAUUCUACAGAAUGUAAUGCAGGUACGCACAGACAUUUGUGUGUUAAUGUACAAGGGUGCACAUACAGGAUAUAUCAGUAAAAUUUUCUAUGGUCUUCAUACAGGAUGUGUCAGUAAAAUUUUCUGUGGCCAAUAUUAGUUGGAGCCUUUCAGAAAGGAGAGAGGAAGGAGGAAAGAGAUGUUCAAAGCUAGACCUAUGCCCCCUCUCUAAGAAAAAAUAGGUUAGGUUGGUGGCAGAACUCAGUAGCACUGAAAAUUCCACCUGAAAUGAUCUUGUGCUCCCCAAGGGAGAACACAUGGAUAUGGAGUAAUGGGGCUUUUAAAAAAUCUGAAGUAGUCUGAAGAUGUUUCUAACUCUGCCACAAGGCUCACAGAUACAGUUUGGUGAAAUUUUUUUUUGCCAAGACAUCUUUAUAUGGCAAGAAAAGAAAAGCACCAACCUGUUUUCUCUAGCGAGACUACUCAAAAGGAAAGAAAGAGCAGUCAAAAAAAGAGCUAAAAUAUUCAUGGAGCUUUUUCUACAUAACUAUACCUGGAGAUAAUUUAUAUGUUUUGGGUAUUACUAUGUCAAACCGGUAAAAUUUAUGGCAGGCUUAUUUCUCAAGUAUUCCAGCUUGGACAACCUUUGCUGCAUGAGAAAAUGAAUCUACUCCUGAAUACAAUUACCCUAAAAAUGAAUUUACACUGAAUGCUGCACUGUUUGGGUGAACUUCAACUGGCAGGGAAAUAUAAUUUAGGUAAAUUCACUCAUGUUUUUACUUUCAUAUUUCAGUAGUAAAAAAAGACUGCCUUGCACCACACCAGAGAUGAACAUUUUUAGGAAUCAAACUGGAAAACAUCAUGCUGGAAGAAAGGAACAAUUAGCCAAA